rfam:Homo sapiens chromosome X, GRCh38 reference primary assembly.
GCCGGGUGUGGUGGAGGGCGCCUGUAAUCCCAGCUACUGGGGAGGCUGAGGCAAGAGAAUCGCUCGAACCCAGGAGGUGGAGGUUGCAGUGAGCUGAGCUCGUGCCGCUGCACUCCAGCCUGGGUGACAGAGCGAGACUCUGUCUCAU